ACUCUUUAAGUGUGAUACAGGAAAAAUGCAGAGAUGAUUUAUUUGAAAUUUACCGUGCGAAAAACAUCAAUGAAGUGACUGAUUCUUGACUCUUGUACAGGUUCCUAUUUAAGUUUUAUGUAGAAUAUAGGAAACUUCCAGAAAAGCUGAAAAUUCAGGCCGCCAUCUCCAAUAUGUUGCUCUCAACACUUCUUGGCUGACAAGAAUAUCAGAAACCAGCGAUGGAGGUGCGCUUGGGGGGACCAACUUUGCUAAAUCCUUAGCCAUUUCAGACCUUCAAAUUCCCAUUGGGAGGAUUAUUAUCUUGCUGUUUCAACAAAAAGAAAAAGGUUAGUUUCCCCCACUAUUAUCUAAGAACUCAUCGCAGUUUCAGGUUUGGAUCAGUUCAUUAUUUUUUUUGCUUAAUAUUGGAUUAGAAAUCUGAUUAGUGAAGGAAUGAAGAUCUGCUGUGAUUUUAUAUUGUUGAGUACAAAUUGAAAGCUUUAAACUUGUAAUUUAAAGUAAUCCAAUUCUAUUAAUCAACUUUGGUCUAAAUCAAAAAUAAUAUCUACCCUUAUAAUGAUUAUAAAAAAGAUCCAAAAGAGGAGAACAAUGAUAGUAACACAAAAGAGAAUUUCAAAAUCAAAACCAUAUCCUAAAAUUCAAGUGGUUUUUUAUAUGUUUGGAAGAUGUAAUGUUUUUGGGAGGCAAAUUACCCCCAACAGAAGGGUGUAUUGAUUGAUUGAACUGUAAAAAUAAAGAAAUAAAUAAAA